rnacentral:rRNA from 1 species
GAUGAACGCUGGCGGCGUGCUUAACACAUGCAAGUCGAACGGAAAGGCCCUUGCCUGCUGGGGUGCUCGAGUGGCGAACGGGUGAGUAACACGUGGGUGACCUGCCCUGUACUUCGGGAUAACUUCGGGAAACUGGGGCUAAUACCGGAUAUGACCAUCUCCUGGAUGGGGGGGUGGAGAGCUUUUGCGGUUGGGGAUGAGCUCGCGGCCUAUCAGCUUGUUGGUGGGGGAUUGGCCUACCAAGGCGUUGACGGGUAGCCGGCCUGAGAGGGUGUACGGCCACAUUGGGACUGAGAUACGGCCCAGACUCCUACGGGAGGCAGCAGUGGGGAAUAUUGCACAAUGGGCGGAAGCCUGAUGCAGCAACGCCGCGUGGGGGAUGACGGCCUUCGGGUUGUAAACUCCUUUCGCAUCCGACGAAGCGUUUGUGACGGUAAGUGGUGAAGAAGCACCGGCUAACUACGUG